UUUUGGCCAUCGCAGCAGCGUCAGAACACAAACGCCCGGGAGUCUGUGAAGGCAGCGCGGAUGUUUGAUCAGAAUGCAGACCCUCGCACAAUACCUGAAUGUGGGCGGGGCUUCAGAGAAACUGACCCUGGGCUGACUAUACUGCAUCUUUGGUUUGGUUUGCAUAACAUUACAGAUCUUUGGCACAGCGAGUAGCAGGCCAGGUACCAGGCCAGGAACCAGGCCAGGGACAGGUACCAGACCAGGUACCAGACAAGGAACCAGGCUAAGCAGGUAUCAGGCCAGGAACAAGACCAGGGACCAGGUACCAGGCCAGGAACCAGGCCAGGGACAGGUACCAGACCAGGUACCAGACAAGGAACCAGGCUAAGCAGGUAUCAGGCCAGGAACAAGACCAGGAACCAGGUACCAGACAAGGAACCAGGCUAAGCAGGUAUCAGGCCAGGAACAAGACCAGGAACCAGGCCAGGGACCAGACCAGGUAACAGACAAGGAACCAGGCUAAGCAGGUUUCAGGCCAGGAACAAGACCAGGAACCAGGCCAGGGACCAGGUACCAGACAAGGAACCAGGCUAAGCAGGUAUCAGGCCAGGAACAAGACCAGGAACCAGGCCAGGGACAGGUACCAGACCAAGUACCAGACAAGGAACCAGGCUAAGCAGGUAUCAGGCCAGGAACAAGACCAGGGACCAGACCAGGUAACAGACAAGGAACCAGGCUAAGCAGAUUUCAGGCCAGGAACCAGGCCAGGGACCAGGUACCAGACAAGGAACCACGCUAACCAGGUAUCAGGCCAGGAACAAGACCAGGGACCAAGGAACCAGGCUAAGCAGGCAUCAGGCCAGGAACCAGGUACCAGACAAGGAACCAGGCUAAGCAGGUAUCAGACCAGGGACCAAGUUAAGCAGCUACCAGGCCAGGAACCAGGCCAGGGACCAGGUACUAGACCAGGUACCAGACAAGGAACCAGGCUAAGCAGGUAUCAGACCAGGGACCAAGUUAAGCAGCCACCAGGCCAGGAAAAAGACCAGGAACCAGGCCAGGUACCAGACCAGGGACCAGGCCAGUGACCAGGUACCAGACAAGGGACCAGGUACCAGGCUAAGCAGGUAUCAGGCCAGGAACAAGACCAGGAACCAGGCCAGGGACAGGUACCAGACCAAGUACCAGACAAGGAACCAGGCUAAGCAGGUAUCAGGCCAGGAACAAGACCAGGGACCAGGUACCAGACCAGGUACCAGACCAAGUACCAGACAAGGAACCAGGCUAAGCAGGUAUCAGGCCAGGAACAAGACCAGGAACCAGGCCAGGGACCAGGUACCAGACAAGGAACUAGGCUAAGCAGGUAUCAGGCCAGGAACAAGACCAGGGACCAGGUACCAGACCAGGUACCAGACAAGGAACCAGGCUAAGCAGGUAUCAGGCCAGGAACCAGGUACCAGACCAGGUACCAGGCCAGUGACCAGGUACCAGACCAGGGACCAGGCCAGGAACCAGACAAGGCCAGGAACAAGACCAGGGACCAGGUACCAGACCAGGUACCAGACAAGGAACCAGGUUAAGCAGAUACCAGGCCAGGAAGAACCAAGUCAGGUACCACCACGCGGGCGGUCAUAUCAACAACCCAGUUUCGGACCAGAACAUGAAAACGGAUCUUCAGAUAAUCAGUCUACUCAUGAGAUCCGGUUUUCAUUUUCCGACCGGAUCAUCCACCAGGUGGUUCUGCAACGGUCCAGAUUCUGGAGCGACUUCCUGCUGAGCUUCGGGUUCGGUCCGAAUCCUCACAGUCUGGCGGGUUUUGUGGUGUCACUAUGGUAACAAAAUCCGGGCGGUUCUUCUGUUCGGUUCCUCCGGUUGGAUUGCCUCACUUCGCUUUGCCGCUGGCCGCUCCCGUUACUUUAACCGGUUACAGUUAUAGAGGCAGGAUAUUUGGUUUACUCACCGUGCUGGUUACCUUUGGCCGAAGUCUCCAAACCGGACCGGAACCCGUUCCGUCGCUUAACCGUUUCCCGCUGAGAAGCUAACCGGGCCGCGCGACAGCUCCUGACGUCACGGCUAGCGCUCAGUGGCGGUCUUUGGUCUCGGUCACCCGAGACCCGAACUCUGUCUGUGAGCGACUUUCCGCCCGGUCUCGGUUCUACAGACCGACCAGAACCGCAGAUUCUCGAUCGCCUUCAAA